GGAGCUGUAGCUCAGUAGUAGAGCAUCUGCCUUUCAUACAGAAGGUCCCAGGUUCAAUCCCUGGCAUCUCCA